rnacentral:piRNA from 1 species
AGGAUUGCUGUGAGUUCAAGGCGA